rnacentral:rRNA from 1 species
UUGACUGUGCAAAGGUAGCAUAAUCAUUAGUUUCUUAAUUAGGAACUGGAAUGAAUGGUUGGAUGAGGAAAUAACUGUCUCUGAUUUAAUUUUCAUGAACUUUAUUAUUAAGUGAAAAAGCUUAAAUUUUUUUUAAAGACGAGAAGACCCUAUAGAGUUUAAUAAAUUAAGUCAAUUUUAUUUUUCGGGAUUAAAUUGUAAUUUUGGUUUAAUUUAUUUUGUUGGGGUGACAGAAAAACUUGAUUAACUUUUUUUAAAAAUUUAUUAUAUUUAUUUAUAGGUGAAUGAUCCAAUAGUUUUGAUUAUAAGAUUAAAUUACCUUAGGGAUAACAGCGUAAUCUUUUCGGAGAGUUCAAAUCGAUGGGAAGGGUUGCGACCUCGAUGUUGGAUUAAAAUUAAGGGCUGGUGUAGAAGUUGGCUUGUUGGGUCUGUUCGACCUUUAAAAUUUUACAUGAUCUGAGUUUAAACCGGUGUGAGCCAGGUUGGUUUCUAUCUUGAUAAAGUUUUAAUAUCUUAGUACGAAAGGACCAGUUAUUAAUAAUUUUUAUUUUGUUUUGAAUAAAAUUGUUACUUUGGCAGAUUAGUGCUUUAAAUUUAGAAUUUAAUUAUGUAUUUAUAUACAGGUAAUACUUGUUUAUCUUUGAUGCAGUUUUAACUUU